AAAUGUCGAUAACUUGAUCAUAAAUUGAUUAUUAGAACGAAUACUGAACAGUUUAUCCAGAUGUUUAAUUUAAGAUACUGGGCAGAAAUUUUAGAAGGUGAACAGAAGAAAUUCCAUGAAGUCGUCCAAAGGAAGUGCAUCUCACGGGUGGGUCAUUACCAUAGAGGAUGCCAGCCAGAAAAGGCUAAUAAAAACAGAGAAGCUGUGAGAUCCCAGCAGAACUGCCACCUGUGCUCUCCUGGAGGUGAUCCAAGAGGAUGACAGCACAGUACCACAUGCCAAAGCAAAAUCUACUCUGUUAUAUAAGGCUGCUGUACUUUGGAAAAAUACAUAACCAGCACAAUUAGGUUUAGCAAGUAAGAACUUAAGAGAAGGCAAAAAUCACUUUGGCUACUUCUUACAGGUUGGGUUUGGACCUGUACUACAGACUAUCUGGAAGAAAUCAUGAAACCAAAUGUUUCUCUUUGAUGUAAAGCAAACUGUUCUGGAGGACUUUUUUUUUAAAAGGAAGACAGUCUUCUCACUUUAUGCUUUAGGCAAAGGGGAUAACAUCCUUCACACUUUCUAACUAACAAUCAGACUCUUCUGUACACAACACAAAGUCAGGUAUAACCAAGAUAUUGUAUUUGAACUAAUUAAAUCAAGGAUGCAAUGGCAAGAACGGGUUUCAACUUACACAUAUCCUUCCUCCGUCCCAGUAGCCAAACUGCCACAUUCAGGAAUGAUUUUUUUUUUAAUGAAAACAAAGGAAAAACACACCAUGCACAUGACAUACCCACCCACUACGAGAACAGAAAUUUGUAUCCAAGGGUGUACUCCAAGUGUGGAAAUGGAUGUAUAGCUCUGGGUUUUGUCAGCUGGUAUAAUCAUUAUCUUAGGGAUGGAAGAAUUCUGUAAUGGUCAACAGAAGAUGAAUGUAAUUCCUUCCAUGUAGAUGGAUAAUGCUCAAAGACGACUCACGUAGGUAUAACAAGAAAUUUAUUUUUUCUAAUAUCUGUGUAUCGCAUUCAGCAGCUGCUUGUCAACGUUAUGCUCGUUAAUGGAUGAAAAAGAAAGCAAAGACAUAAAAUGCAAUUUUUGUCUUCAACCAAAUCUAACUACUACCAACAUCAAAGGAAGAUUAAUCAUGAAUUUCAAAACAGGACUGAAAAAUGUACCCAGAAUAAUGAUAAAAAUAAAAAAAAACAAAAGCAGCUUCUAGACAGUGAGAGAGCAGGGGAACUGCCCAUAUGAACAGGAAAUGAUAUAAAUAAUUUGAUGCAACUAAAUCUACAUUCGUUGACACUCAAGAUCAACACUAACUGCUGGCUUCGUGCUAUCCAUUGCUGCUGGCACUGAACAUCACAGAAAGAUAUAGCCUGUUUUUUUCCUCACCUCAGAAGAGCAAUCAAUCCCUAUUCAAUCUACAGAAAAUGACAGAGGAAAAAAAAAAAGCAAUAACCAAUUUUCUUCAUAGCACUCUGCAAAGAGGACCAAAAGAGCCCCAGGACAGUAUUAUUUCUGUGGGCUUCAAAAGAGAAAAGUGAGAUGAUCCUUAUAAUGCUCACAAUUUAUUUCCUUUGUUUUUAAAAAACAAAAAACAAAAUAAAUUGGAA
rnacentral:lncRNA from 7 species